ensembl:lncRNA
AGCGAAGCCCACCCCCAGCCCAGGGAUGCCAGCCGGCUGGUCCAGGCGCCACACCUCCGCCCGUACGGUGCAGAGCCCCCGCCUGGUACAAGAGCUGAGCUCAGGCCCGACAAUACGUCCCAAACCAAAAACAGCAGCCGUCUCAGUCCUGUGGACACUGUCAAUCUCACCCAGCCCGGGCAGUGAGAAGUCACCUACACAGGAAACUGGGCCCAGGACCCUUCCUAAGCCGCCGACUGACCCCAGCCUGGCCUCCAGCGCGCGGCAGCGGCAGAGAGGAGGCGGGGCUCCAGCCAGCCUUUCCGCCUUUUCCCAAGCCGCCGCCGGCCCCCGGGUUCUGCUGCGCCUCCCUCACGCCUGCCUCUGAGCCCUGUUCCCCAUCGGCUCUGAUCAGAUCCAGGAGCCUUUCCCCAGCUGCAGGAAGAGGUCUGGACCCACCUGAGAUAGCAAGGCCUUCCUCUGGGCCAGGACCCACGUUUGAUCAGUUAACUUGGGGGUGGGAUGGGGAAUGAGGGCAGCACCGGCCGGGGCCCAGGACACACCCCGUACCAGCCGCAGCAUCAGGAUGCAGUGUCUCCCGGAGCCCACCCGCUCUGCGUGUCUGGGUGCCGCCAUCGCGUCUUCCCAGCAGCUCUGCCAGGCAGAAAUUACAGCCACCACUUUGCAUCCCCAGGAACUCACAGCCUCACCCCAUCUCUCCUUGGGGGAUCCUGUUCAAACCCGGGUCUGUUUGGCUUUAAGUUACCUUCUCAAGCACGGAGACCUGCUGACGUGGUGUACUUCAAUUCAACCAAUUUGCAUGCCAGGCUGGUGCAGAGAUGUCGAGGGAGCGGGAGUGGGCAGCCUGCCUAACCCCAAGGCCCAGGUGGGGGCAGCAGUAAGGCACAUCGCCCCCGGUCCCGUCAAGGGCUCCUUACCGCAGAGUCCGGCAGAGCACGAGGUCCCGUCGAAUCAGCCCCAGGCGGCCUGUCAGCCGCUAUUUCGCACUCUGGGAUCUCAUGGUGGAAGGGAGCCCCUACCUCAGCUACAAAGGAUCAGACAGUUCCAGAGAGUAUCCAAACAAAGCUGUCUCCCGGGAUCAGUGGGUGCGCUCUUCCCAAGUUUGCUAGAAGAUUCCAACUCCUGUCUCUUCCUGGACCUCGCCUGGAGCUGGCCCUGCAGUUUCCCUGGAAAGAACAACUCCGUCUCUUAAACCACGGUCAGAUUUCGGCACAGUUCCAUCUGUCUGCUGCAACCACAUGAGUUCUGCUCAUCUGUUUAUUUAGAGCUUUCAGACAGAUUUUCCACUGCCAGGACAUCUGUCAUCUACAGAGUGGUUCCUAAGACCCGGACCCCAGGCCUAAACACUUGAAAUCCUUCCUGAAUGCCCCCAACAGCUCUACCAGGCCGGCCAUGUCAGCCUCAGAGCAUUCAUCUCAAUGCAGCCGUUCCCCCAAGGCACUGUGUGAAUUGCAUCCUGCCGACUCGUAUGGAACAGAAUUGCAGGGCUGUGUUGGGCACACUGGGCUGCGUCACCUCAUCUCCACACCCCCCCCCCCCAGAACCCAGAUGCCAGGGGUCCUCAGACUGAAAUUUGCAAAGGGUCACACACUUGUGAGGGGACAAUAAGGGACACAGAGCUGCACCGUGCCGGAGGCCAGAAAGGUGUUAGGA